rnacentral:rRNA from 1 species
UACGAAGGGUGCAAGCGUUACUCGGAAUUACUGGGCGUAAAGCGUGCGUAGGUGGUUUGUUAAGUCUGAUGUGAAAGCCCUGAGCUCAACCUGGGAAUUGCAUUGGAUACUGGCAGGCUAGAGUGCGGUAGAGGAUGGCGAAAUUCCCGGUGUAGCAGUGAAAUGCGUAGAGAUCGGGAGGAACAUCUGUGGCGAAGGCGGCCAUCUGGACCAGCACUGACACUGAGGCACGAAAGCGUGGGGAGCAAACAGG